GAUGAACGCUGGCGGCGUGCCUAACACAUGCAAGUCGAACGGAGUCCAGCCUUAGAGACCUUCGGGUCAAAGAGGGGAAGACUGAGUGGCGGACGGGUGAGUAACACGUGGGCAACCUGGCUCAUAGAGGGGGAUAACAGAGAGAAAUUUCUGCUAAUACCGCAUAAGCACACACUGCCGCAUGGCAGAGGGUGAAAAGAGAAUCGCUAUGAGAUGGACCCGCGUCUGAUUAGCCAGUUGGCAGGGUAAGAGCCUACCAAAGCGACGAUCAGUAGCCGAUCUGAGAGGACGAACGGCCACAUUGGGACUGAGACACGGCCCAAACUCCUACGGGAGGCAGCAGUGGGGGAUAUUGCACAAUGGGGGGAACCCUGAUGCAGCGACGCCGCGUGAGUGAAGAAGUAUUUCGGUAUGUAAAGCUCUAUCAGCAGGGAAGAUCAGACAGU
rnacentral:rRNA from 1 species